CCUACGGGGGGCUGCAGGGAGGAAUAUUGGUCAAUGGCCGAGAGGCUGAACCAGCCAAGUCGCGUGAGGGGAGACGGCCCUACGGGUUGUAAACCUCUUUUGGCGGGGAGCAAAGCGAGCCACGUGUGACUCAUUGAGAAUACCCGAAGAAAAAGCAUCGGCUAACUCCGUGCCAGCCGCCCCUGUAAUACGGAGGAUGCGAACGGUAUCCGGAUUUGAUGGGUUGAAAGGGUGCGCAGGCGGAUGAGCAAGUCAGCGGUAAAAUUGCGGGGCUCAACCCCGUACUGCCGUUGAAACUGCAUCCCUUGAGUGCGCGAGAAGUAUGCGGAAUGCGUGGUGUAGCGGUGAAAUGCAUAGAUAUCACGCAGAACUCCGAUUGCGAAGGCAGCAUACCGGCGCGCAACUGACGCUCAUGCACGAAAGCGUGGGUAUCGAACAGGAUUAGAUACCCGGGUAGUC
rnacentral:rRNA from 1 species